rnacentral:SRP_RNA from 1 species
GUCUGUUAUGAUGGCUCAUUGCUGUAAUCCUAGUUACCAGGGAUGCUGAGGGUGGUGGAUCUCUUGAGUUCAGGAAUUCUGAGUUGCAGUGGGCUAAGCCAAGCAAGGUGGCAGUACUCAGUUUGGCAAUAAUAUGGUGAGAACUUUGGAGGUUGCCAAAGAAGGCAACCCAGCCUAGGUCAGAAAUAGAGCAGGUCAAAGCUUUCAUGUCGUUCAGAGUGGGAUCAAAUCUAUGAAUAGCCCCUAUAUGUCCAGCCUGAGCAAAACAUGGAAAA